CCUACGGGAGGCAGCAGUGGAGAAUCAUGGACAAUGGGGGAAACCCUGAUGGAGCGACGCCGCGUGGGGGAAUGAAGGUCUGCGGAUUGUAAACCUCUGUCAUGUGGGAGCAAAUUAAAAAGAUAGUACCACAAGAGGAAGAGACGGCGAACUCGGUGCCAGCAGCCGCGGUAAUACAGAGGUCUCAAGCGUUGUUCGGCAUCACUGGGCGUAAAGCGUGCGUAGGCUGUUUCGUAAGUCGUGUGUGAAAGGCGCGGGCUCAACCCGCGGACGGCACAUGAUACUGCGAGACUAGAGUACUGGAGGGGGAAGCGGAAUUCGCGGUGUAGCAGUGAAAUGCGUAGAUAUCGCGAAGAACACUCGUUGCGAAGGCAGGUUCCUGGACAUUAACUGACGCUGAGGCACGAAAGCCAGGGGAGCGAACAGGAUUAGAUACCCUUGUAGUC
rnacentral:rRNA from 1 species